AUUGAACGCUGGCGGCAGGCCUAACACAUGCAAGUCGAACGAGUGGCGGACGGGUGAGUAAUGUCUGGGAAACUGCCUGAUGGAGGGGGAUAACUACUGGAAACGGUAGCUAAUACCGCAUACCAUCGGAGGUGCCCAGAUGGGAUUAGCUAGUAGGUGGGGGAAAGGCUAACCUAGGCGACGGUCCCUAGCUGGUCUGAGAGGAUGACCAGCCAAACUGUAACGUAGACACGUUCCAGAGUCCUACGGAAGGCAGCAGUGGGGAAUAUUGCACACUGGGCGCAAGCCUGAUGAAGCCAUGCCGCGUGUAUGAAGAAGGCCUUCGGGUUGUAAAGUACUUCAAGCGGGGAGGCGUUACCCUCAGAAGAGGCACCGGCUAACUCCGUGCCAGCAGCCGCGGUAAUUG
rnacentral:rRNA from 1 species